rnacentral:tRNA from 1 species
GGAUUGUGGCUCAGUGGUAGAGCACUUGCUUAACAAGUGAGGCACUGGGUUCAAUUAUCAGCACCA